AGCUGGACGCCCCCGGCCGGGGCUCCCGGGGGUCCGCAGGGAAGGGGCAACUGUCCAGCUCGGCCACUACGAUUCCAUCCACCGCACACCUAAGAAGCGCCUCUCCCUUCUCGGGUACGAGGCACAGGAGCCUUUUGAAGGUGGCCCUGGCUCCCAGCUCCUCCGGGACAAGGCUGAAGACCCCGUCAACCGAAGAACUCCAGGAGAGAAGUGGCCAUCCACCCAGACUCUCAGAGAUGGUUCCUCGGGAAAUGAAAUAAACGACGAGGGGAAGAAUUUCCUCAGCCAGUGGGACUCUGUGGGAAAACAAAAAGGUUCAUUUGUUUUUACCGGGAAGAAAUUCGACUGAAUCCGUGGAAACAAAA
rnacentral:lncRNA from 1 species